rnacentral:rRNA from 1 species
GAUGAACGCUAGCGGGAGGCCUAACACAUGCAAGCCGAGCGGUAGAGUCUCUUCGGAGACUUGAGAGCGGCGCACGGGUGCGGAACACGCGUGCAACCUGCCUUUAUCUGGGGGAUAGCCUUUCGAAGGGAAGAUUAAUACCCCAUAAUAUACUGGAUGGCAUCAUCUGGUAUUGAAAACUCCGGUGGAUAGAGAUGGGCACGCGCAAGAUUAGAUAGUUGGUGAGGUAACGGCUCACCAAGUCAGCGAUCUUUAGGGGGCCUGAGAGGGUGAUCCCCCACACUGGUACUGAGACACGGACCAGACUCCUACGGGAGGCAGCAGUGAGGAAUAUUGGACAAUGGGUGAGAGCCUGAUCCAGCCAUCCCGCGUGAAGGACGACGGCCCUAUGGGUUGUAAACUUCUUUUGUAUAGGGAUAAACCUAGAUACGUGUAUCUAGCUGAAGGUACUAUACGAAUAAGCACCGGCUAACUCCGUG